GCUUCAAGGAAAAACAGAAGCAACUAUUUGCUUGUCCUGUGGGGCGGGGUUUCUUGGAGGCUUCCAGCUGUCCCACUAGGGAUCUCUAGGCCCACACAGGUUGGAACGUGAGGUGCUCUCCAGGCAAACUGAGUGAGGUGAUUUCGUCUUUCUCCGCCCUGGCUAGGCCAGAAGAGAGGUGUAACUAAGCUUUCCACAGUUCACCAGCAAAGACAUCCAGAACUAGGUGUGUUCUCAAGGAGGAGGCUAAGAGGAAAAGAGUUUGGAGCUCGGUACAUUUUCUGAGAGGAAGCACCACAAGGCCUCAUGUUUUUAGCUGAUUUAAGAAACAAAAAGCCAAAGAGCAAACAGCAAUAUCUUCAACCUCUUUCAUUCCACCCUAAGACCAAGAAAGAGUGACUUCUUGCAGCAACAGUCUAUACUUUCCCCUAUUUACCUCAAAAAUCAGAAGAUAAGCAUCAAAUUACAUGUCACACCCAAUGAUAGAUUGUUGAGAAAUAUGCACACUCUUAACUGUCAAGGUUUAUAAAGUGCAGCUUUCUUUACUCCUUCUUUAUCCUUCUGCUUCUUCUUUCCCUCCUAAAUCUUACACACUGCCAGAAUGGACCCAAUCUUGACUCCACCUCCCAGUAUAAAGAUAACAAAAGUUAUUUAAAAUAAAAAGCAGACUUGAAGAGUUGACCUGGGGAGAGGGGUGUGUUCAGAUUGGGAGCAAGUGAAGCAAAGUGGGAAGAACAGAGGAGAGUUAAGUGUCCUUCAGGCCUGGGAAGGAUAAAGAAGUCAAACACUAUGAACAAUAAAUAUCUGCAUUCUUAAUUCAUGUUUCUGAAAUCAGUGCACUGCUCUGACCUAGAAGAAACAAAAUUGUUCACUUUAUCAAUUUUUGCUUGCUUUGUUGUGACCCAAAGGCCAUAUUCCCUGUAGGAGCGCUGCUAGAAUCUGUUGCCCCUCUGCCAAUAUUGUACAUAUCCUGGAGUACAGCAUUAAAUUUAAUGCCUGGAAAAGAUAAAGAUAUAUUGGACAAGAAAAGCUAGCUGGAAAAAGAUUGUGAGAAUAGACUUAGUUUACAAACUAUGCCAUAUUGGAUGCAUUUAUAUAUGCCUCUACUUCUUUGUAUUUUUGUUUGCUUGUUUUAUUUUGUUUUCUUUACUUUAGGUUUUUUUUGUUUUUGUUUUUUGUUACCAGCAAUCAAAUUUCCAAUUUAGCACUUGCCAAACAGGCAUUGUGCUGUUGAGCUAUAUCCCUGGUCCAUGCCUCUACAACUUUAAAUACCAAUAUUCUCACCUGUUGCCUUUUCAGAGAUACUGUUAGAAAUUCAAAGAAUUGUCAAAAACAGUAAGUAUGAUGCAGAGGUAGCUUUAUAGUAAUAUUAAUGAAUUUAGGCUUUAGGUCCCUUUUCCAAGACUUUGGAAAGAAUAAAAUAUAUUUUUCAUAGAAAGGGUUCCCAUAGUUUAAAGUUUCAGCCUCCACAAAACCUGUAUCAGUUUCUGAUGAGAUUUGAGCUUACAAACCGCAGUGCCUGCAAUACAUGAAGGAAGUUUUCAUAAAGGUUAUUAUUAGUAGUAUUGGCAGCUAUGAAAAGUAUGAACUUUAAGAUUCUUUCUGAUCAUAGAUAUAAGGAUCAUGCUCUUUGUUCCUAAUAAUCCCUAUAUAUAUAAAUAAACUAAGUCAUAAAAAUAAGAACUAAACUGCUUGCUCACAUUGGGAGGAAUGGUUAAAUUUAACUUAGGAAUAACCAAUAGUUCAGGGCCAUACAGCCAGAGUUUGAAGCUAUCCUGGCACAGUAUUAUUUCCUACAAGUGAUAGCAGGCCUACUAACUCCUAUAAGUUAUGUUGUGCCUUGGGCUGCUUAUUUUAUGAGCAAAGAGCUUGGCUAGGGUGUGUGUGUGUGUGUGUGUGUGUGUGUGUGUGUGUGUUAAUAGGAGGUUGGGUAUACAUAGAUUUUUCCUGCCAUUUUAGACCCUAGAAGCUACCAUAUCAAUAAAUUGGAAGGAGGAAGAGACUUUAUAAUAGAAAGCAAGACAAACCUGAGAAACCUGUAACCUCAGUUUCACCUGCAGAAAAGGGGUAACAUCCUUGGCUUUCUCUCCAAAAUAUACAUGAAUGGAUCAUUUGAGUGUACUGUUGAGUGAACCAAGCAAAGACAUGCAUCUUACUUUUCAUAUUAAACAAAUAAAGAUAUGAGGCAGUUUAAGGAAAUGUAUAAAUAGAACAGGAAAUCUUGUAUUACUGAACUAAUCUAGAGAAGUGGUACCCAAAAGCCCUAAAGGGAAGGUUUAUACUUAUAGAUUUUGUGUUACUUACCACAAGUAAUUCUCACUUCCUCAUCAGAGGGGUGCUGUCCAUCUAACUGCUUUCUCCCAGAGCAAAAGGAGAUUUUCCUUUACCCUUCUGUCCAGUUUAGUCUUAUCACUUCCCUCAGAAAGUAAAAGUGAAAAAGGAAAGAGGGAGUAUUUUUGAUGAUUUCUUACAAUCUUUCUGCCAGUGCAUUUAUUGAAAUGUUGCCAUUUUAUUCUUUAUUCUCUCCAUUUUUUGUUUAACCUUAUAUCCCUGCAUUGUGGUAGUCUGUUUUCCUCAAAUCAGAAAAGUACCACAGAUAUAGUUGGAGUAUCCUAGUGUGGAACCUCAAUGACACAUUUCCUUCUCAAGACAUGAUGGAAGUAGAUUUAAAAGAAUACAGCAACCAGACAUGAUGGGGCAGUCCUGUAAUCCCAGCACUAGGGAGGCUGAGGCAGGAAAAUCACUGUGAGUUACAGACCAGACUGAACUGAUAAUGAGACCCUGUCUCAAAAAAACAAAAUAAAAAAAAAAACAAGAAAACAAAACAAACAAAAAGAGAAUAUUAGACAGGCAUAUUAGUCUUUAUAAAGUGAGGUAAUGGUUUGAUCAAGAAAAAAAUUCUAAUUAGUUGAUUAGUAUAUCAUGGGCAUAUAGCUGAUUAUGCUUGUGUGCAUAGUAGAAACACACAGUUGAAAUAAUCAGGACUAUGUGAAAAAAUAGAGUGAUUAUUCACAAACAUGUUAAAAAUAAAAUUUUGAACCACACAUUUUACCACAGAUUCAUCAACUGAUCAUAGAAUGUUGGUAUCAUGAGGCCUAAAGAGUUUAUUUUAAUAUGUGACAUGAAUACUAAUAGUGAAAUGAAAGAUUAUAUUAGAUUAUAUAUAAGUAAUAUUGUCUAAUAGAAUUUAUUUAUUUUAUGGUAACCUACUAUUAUGGUUUAUAUAUUGUGUCAACUUGUGAAGUUUAUGCCAGGGAUUUAGCUCAGUGGUGUAAGUGCCUGCCUAGCAAGCGGAGGUUGUGAGUUGGAUCCCUGGUAAUGGAAAAAAAAAGCUAGAAACACCACUGCUGGAGGUUUAGUUCAUUGUUAUAAGAGCCUGCCUGGCAAGUGUGAGGUCAUAAUUUCAAGGCCCUUGUACCAAAAAAAAAAAAAAUCAACUUGUGAAGUUUAGAAUCCUAAUCAAAUAACUCAGCAGCUGCACAUCCUGGGCGUAGAGGGCAAAUCAUUACCAUUCUAAGAUAUUGUUCAUCGUGUCAAUUUGAGAAGGUAAGAAAUUUAACCAAAUGAUUCAUCAGUGGGCCGAGGUCCUUAGUUUGUAACAUCCUCAGCCUGUGUAAGAGGAGGGCAUGAAUAUGGUGCCAGUGUAACACCCACCCCAGGGGAAUUGCUUGCAUACAAUAAAAGGCAAAUUAGGAAUUACUGAUUGCUGGUUCUUUGGAGGAGCUCCAGUCUUGGUCUUCAGCUUGAAGGUCAUCUCCUGGCUUCUGACAAAUACUGUUCAGUUUCAAUCUGGGACUCUUCAGCCUUCAUGAUAUACUCUUCAGCCUUCUGUUGUGGAUUCUUUAGCCUUCCAUCGCAGACCCAUCGACCUCCUCAUACAGACUUGCACAGGAUACUGCUGUAAGCUCCAGCCUUUGGAAUGGACCCUUCAGUCUCCAGUGUACAGAUGCCUUCUGCAUGCUCCCCCAUCCAACUUUGUGGCUGAUCAUUCCAUCAUGAACUGCAGCCCCGCCAUACCAGCCUGCCUUGGAGCCAACUGAGUAUGGACUGAAACCUCCAAAAACUGUAAGAAAUAAACCUUUCCUUUCCCAACUUUGGUCAUCAGGUAUUUUGUCUCAGCGACAAGUAAAAAGUAACUAAGACAGCAACUUUAUUAAAAAAUGGAAAGAAAACCUUAAAUUCAUGAAAUAAGGAAUGAAAAGAGUGAAAUCACUACAUACCCCAUGGAAACACAGAACAUCAUAAAUACCUACUUUAAAAAGCAUUACUCUCAUAGGAUUGAUAACACAGAAGAAAUAAACAGAUUCCAAAAUACAUAUAAAUUACCAAAGUUGUGUCAAGAAAAUGUUAAACUGCUGAAUAACCCAAUUUUAAUUAAUGAAAUUCAAAAUGCGACUAGAACAUUAGCAACAAAGGAAAGCACAGGUCCUGAUGGAUUCAAAGCUGAAUUCUACAAGAAAUUCAAUAAAAAUUAAUGCUAACACUUCUCAAAUUCUUCAAUGAAAUUGAAAGGGAAGCAGUUCUUCCCAACUCAUUCCUGGAAGCCAGUAUUACCCUAGAUACUAAACCAGAGAAAGACCCAAUGAGAAAAGCAAACAAAUACCUAAACCAGAGAAAGACCCAAUGAGAAAAGCAAACAAAAAAUCAGUCUCCCAAUGAACAUAGAUGCAAAUACUGGCAAAUAAAACUCAGCAAGUCAUCAAGAAGAUUAUAAACCACAAUCAACUGGGACUCAUCCCAGGAUUACAGGGGUGUUUCAACAUAUGCAAAUCAAUAAAUGUAACUCAUCAUGUUAAUAGAGCUAAAGAUAAGAAUCACAUGAUUACUUCAAUAGAUGCAUAGAAAGCUUUUGAUAAAGUCCAACACUUGUUCAUGAUAAGAACCCUAAGGAAAGUUGUAAGAGAUGGUUCUUACCUUAAUCUGAUAAAAGCCAUCUAUGACAAACAGCCAGCAUCAGAAAAGGAUGUCCAUUGUCACCACUCCUAUUCAAUACAAUGCCAGAAACAUUAGCCUGAACAAUUAGACUAGAGAGAAAAAUAAAAGGAAUAAGGAUAGAAAAACAAGAAUUUGAAUUAUCAUUAUUUGCAGAUGACAUAAUAUUCUACAUAAAAGAUCCCCAAAAUUCCAUUGAAAGACAUCUAGAUGUAAUAACCAAAUUCAAUAAUGUAGUUGGAUACAAAGUCAACACUCAAAAAUUGAUAGCAUUUCUGUACACAAACAGAAAACUCACUGAAAGACAAAUAAGAGAACCUGCGCCAUUCACAGUACAAUCCAAAAAAAUGAAGUACUUAGGAAUCAAUUUAACAAAGAAAGUAAAUGAUCUAUGUAGUAAAAAUUAUGAUAUUCUGAAAAAAGAAAUCAGAGGAUCUUGAAAAUGAAAUUAUAUUCCCUGUUAAUGGAUAGCAAGAACAAACAGUGUGAAAAUGGUCAUUCUCCCAAAAUGGUAUACAGAUUUAAUGCAAUUCCAAAAAAAUACCAUUAGCAUACCAAAAAGAUCUAAAGAAAUCAUUCCUAAAAUUUAUCUGGAAUCAAAAGAGACCUAGAAUAGCAAAGGCAAUUUUAGCCAACAAUGGCAAGGCAGGAAGGAUCACAAUCCUUAACUUUGAAUUUACACUGCAAAGCUACUGUGACAAAAUCAGCAGGAUACUGGAAUAGAAACAGCCCUGAAGAUCAGUGGAAUAGAUUAGAAGAUAGGACCACAACUACAAACACUAAACCAUUUAUCUUUGACAAAGGGUCCAAACAUGUUCACUGGAAGAAAGAUAGCCUCUUUAAAAAGUUGUGUUGGGGGGCUGGGGAUUUAGCUUAGCGGCAUAAGUGCCUGCCUUGCAAGCAGGCAGUCGUGAGUUCAAUCCCUGGUACCGAUAAAAACAAAAAAGACCAAAAAAAAAAAAAAGUUGUGUUGGGAAAACUGGCUUUCUACUUGCCAAAACUUAAAACUAGACCCACACCUAUCACAAUGUACUAGACUAAAGUCAAAAUGGAUCAAUGAUGUAAGUACUAAAACAGAAACAUUUAAUCUGAUGGAGCACACAGUAGGUAGAAAUCAUGAAGACAUAGAUGUAGGCAGAGAAUUAAUGAAAAUUAUCAAAUUGCAUGGAAAUAAUUCCCAGAAUCAAUAACUGGGAUCUCAUCUUAUUAAAAAGAUUUUCCAUGUCAAAAGGUAUCUCCAACAAAGUGAAAAGAAAUUCCAUGAAAUGGCAAAAAAUCUUAGUCAACUGUCCCUCAGACAAAGGAUUUCUAUAUAAAACAGAUAAAGAAUUUUUAAAAAUUCAGACCCUCCAAAUUCAAAGAUACAAUUCAUAAAUGGGUAUCUGAGAUGAAUACAUACUUCUCAGCUGAAGAAGUACAAAGGGACAAAUAAAUACAUUAUAUAAUGUUAAGCAUCAUUGGUCACUAGAUAAAUGCAAAUUAAAACCACACUGAGAGGGGAAUGGGGGGCAUGGUGGAUGGGUAGAUAGCAUGGUAAAGCACCUCUCUUACAACAACAACUCAGAUGCUAGAAUGUAACAUCAUGGAGAAGACCAGAUGAAAGGACAGGGAUUCUCACAAUGUAGAAAGAAACUGAGGAAAAAGAAUAGAAUAGAAUAGGAAAAAGAAAAAGUAUAGAAUAGAAUAGAACAGAAAAGAAAAGAAAAAAGAAAGAGGACAGAAGGCUGGAGCUAGAUGCUCUUUCACUGGAGCUGGUCCCAUGCUGUGCUGGACACCUUGGAGUCGCUGAAGUCAUGGUCACACUGAAAUCGGGGGGUUGGUGAGCCCAAGGACCUUGGCAGGAGGAUGUCCUUCAAUGAAGAGCUAAACUGGUACAGAGACCUGCACUAACCUGUGGUGAGUGCUAGGAAUUUGGUCCCAUGAAGGGGGUGACCAGCUGGAAGACAUAUUGGAGUUGGGCAGGAUGGACCUGAAUCUGGAACCACAGUGGCCUCAGUUGACUGAUUUUAUUUGAAUCUGGUAUGUUUGAUAGUAUCAAGUCUAAGAAUAUAGUCAAGUACUCCAAAGAUGACAAGAUUUAAUAGAAUACCCAUUCUGGUUUCGAUUAUCAACUGCUUUUGAAGUUCUAUAAUGUCUCCAAUCUUUUGUUUUUAUUAAUAUUGCCAUGUACUGCUAUGUUCAAUUAUAAUAUGCCUGAUGAUAUAGACAAUUAUAUUGAAAAUAACAAAAGACAUCAUAGUAACUACUGUAGACACCUAGUAUUGUGGUUUUAUGUGUCAUUGUUUCAUGUUUUUCUAGAAAUUUGUUUUGUUGUCUUAUUUUAAUUUGUUUUUCUUUCUAAUAUAGAAAAGAUAGGUAUACAUGUAAAGAAUCACACAUGCGUAGAAUUUCUAAACAUUUUACCAGAAUUGAUUAUAUAAUGCAUGAUAUAAUGAACAGAUACUCCGAAGAAAAAGGGACACUAAGAUACUGAGAGCUAAUUCCAUAGCAUCAUGAUAUAAACUCUAGCAAUACUAUUACUCUCUGUUCAGAGUGAUAUUCGUCUGUUUUCCUUUGUUUAAUUUCAACAUACAUAAAGAUAUGGAAAGAUAUUUUGAAUACAAUGAGAGACAUUAUGGCAGCCAUUGUUGACUUCCUAUUAUCCAGUCUUGAAGACCUAAAAUGUCUUCAUCAUCCUGUUCUGAUCAGUUUAAUAUUACUAUGUUUUUUGGUCAUUUUCCUUUUUAU